GAGUAACGCGUGAGGAACCUGCCUCAAAGAGGGGGACAACAGUUGGAAACGACUGCUAAUACCGCAUAAGCCCACAGCUCGGCAUCGAGCAGAGGGAAAAGGAGCAAUCCGCUUUGAGAUGGCCUCGCGUCCGAUUAGCUAGUUGGUGAGGUAAUGGCCCACCAAGGCGACGAUCGGUAGCCGGACUGAGAGGUUGAACGGCCACAUUGGGACUGAGACACGGCCCAGACUCCUACGGGAGGCAGCAGUGGGGAAUAUUGCACAAUGGGGGAAACCCUGAUGCAGCGACGCCGCGUGGAGGAAGAAGGUCUUCGGAUUGUAAACUCCUGUUGUUGAGGAAGAUAAUGACGGUACUCAACAAGGAAGUGACGGCUAACUACGUGCCAGCAGCCGCGGUAAAACGUAGGUCACAAGCGUUGUCCGGAAUUACUGGGUGUAAAGGGAGCGCAGGCGGGAAGACAAGUUGGAAGUGAAAUCUAUGGGCUCAACCCAUAAACUGCUUUCAAAACUGUUUUUCUUGAGUAGUGCAGAGGUAGGCGGAAUUCCCGGUGUAGCGGUGGAAUGCGUAGAUAUCGGGAGGAACACCAGUGGCGAAGGCGGCCUACUGGGCACCAACUGACGCUGAGGCUCGAAAGUGUGGGUAGCAAACAGGAUUAGAUACCCUGGUAGUCCACACCGUAAACGAUGAUUACUAGGUGUUGGAGGAUUGACCCCUUCAGUGCCGCAG
rnacentral:rRNA from 1 species